GCAAGCAGCACAAGGCAUGGAUCCAUCGUUUCUGCAAUAAGUAACGGGCAGUGCCGCUGGCCCCCAGCCGUGGGGCUCCGGUCCAGAGCAGCCCUGAGGCGGCCCCAGAGUGACAGGGCCAGGCCCCGUUUCUGCUGCUAGCAAGAAGCCGUGCUGGGUGGCAGCGCCUGGGGUGGGACAGGGGAGCCCUUCCUGCUGGAAGAGUGCCCCAGCCAGGGCUCAUGAGCCUCUGGGCAUCUGUGCAGCAUUUCCAUCCUGGCUCUAUUUUGCCACGUUCCCUAAGGUGUAACCUUUUGCUCCAGCCCUGGCAGUCUCUCCCCUCCCUUCUUAGGCCCUUUCCCAUGUUGGGGAGCUGCGGUGCUGUCUCCCCUGGUGCCGUUCAGCGGGAGCGGGGCAGAGGCUGCUGGAGCCAGGGGUCCCCUGAGAGCUGCUCUCCCCUGCCCCGGGGGUCCUCACCACCCCCAGGACGGCUUCGCUGCUGGGUCUUAUACUCGCUGAGCCUUGUAAUUGUGUGUGUUGGGUGCAGUCGAAAUUACCCAAAACCCCACAAAUACUGAAACGUUCUUUAAUGAAAUCACACUUUGUUUUUAUACUGGAGCUGUUACAGCACCUCCUCUGCCUUCUAAACUGCAAUGUACACGGCUGUGACUAAACCUGUUCUCUUUGGGUUUUUUUCUUCCCGAAGGAGGAGGACCACAGAGAUGCCGAGUGGCCUUUGGGGCCACCAGCGGCAAAACAGCGCCAUCACUGAUCAUUUUUGAAGACUGUUCUUGUUCUAUGUUUGUUCUACAGUUGUUCUAAUAUUCUUGUUUAAUAUACUGUUCUUGUUUUGUUCUUAUACUCUAGUUGUUUUGGUUUUUUAUCGUGGCUUUGUGUUGUUAUACUGUUGUUCUGUUGUUGUAAGAAUAGUAAACUAGUAUUUUUACCAUAAUUUUACUAUCAUUUUCGCAUUUUUUUACUGUCAAUAUAUAAUUUCCACCCCUCCUACUACAUCCCCCACCCCCUGUCUUUAGGUCCCCCACUUAAAAUAAACAGACUAUGUUCACAUCUGC